UACAGAGGUCUCAAGCGUUGUUCGGAUUCAUUGGGCGUAAAGCGCGUGUAGGCGGCCAGGUAAGUCCGUUCUGAAAGCCCGGGGCUCAACCCCGGGAGGCGGAUGGAUACUGCUUGGCUCGAGUCCGGAAGAGGUGAGUGGAAUUCCCGGUGUAGCGGUGAAAUGCGCAGAUAUCGGGAGGAACACCAAUGGCGAAGGCAGCUCACUGGGACGGUACUGACGCUGAGACGCGAAAGCGUGGGGAGCAAACAGG
rnacentral:rRNA from 1 species